UUAUUAAUAACCCUCUCUGACUGAAAGUUACAUAUCGGGAAACCAAUCUAAACCGUAUGUAUACAUGUAGAGAUGUACAGCUGGUACAACUGAAAGAAAGAAAAGAAAAAAUAAUUAAGCCUUUUCAGGAAUAUUGAAGGUUGAUUUGUUCUGGAGUAAGAAGCAAGAUGGUGAAAGAUAAAAGGAGUGAAAAUGACAAACACAGCUGCCAACCUCAGGAUAGAAGAUACAACUUUGAGUAUGGCCAGAAUUCGUCUGGUGUUCACCACAACUUACCUCAUACUACUUCCACUCCAUCAUGGACAACUGCCUCACACAGCCAGUCACAGCUACAUAGGCAGACACAAGCCUGGGGUUCUGUGUUCAAGAACAGAGCACACUUCGUAGAAAUGCAUUUGGUUUAACAAACUUGAUUGACAGCUAGUCUGUAAAUGGAUAUAUGUGUAUAAAUGAAGUACUGUGUUGUUGUACUAUUGGUAUGUGAUAUUUUAUACUUAGCUAUUUGUCUGUUUUUUCUGUAAUCUAAAUUGAUUUGAUUAACGUAUGGGUAUGUGUUCAUGCAAAUAUAUUUAUAUGUUAAUUCUGCAAAUUUAGAUUCCUAUUGAUAUAUAUGUUCAUACAUUGUUUGUACAAGUUUGUUUUAUCUUAUUAUAUUAUCCUGUCUGUGAGAGUUGCUUUUUGUUUGUGCUAGGAAUACAAAUUUGUGCUACAAUACUUCAGUAACAGUUUUUGACAUUUCUUUCUUAACCUUUAGCCUGCUAGCGGAAAGUUAUUCUGCCUUUGCGACCAGUGCAGACCAAGAUCAGCCUGCACAUCCGUGCAGUCUGAUCAUGGUCUGCAGUGUUCGCUAUUCAGUCAGUAAAUUUUCAGUGAAAACCCCUUUGAAUAAUAAGUGGUACUGUCCAAAUUGAAAGACGGACCAGUCCAUUAUAGAAAUAUAGCAGGGUAAGGGUUAAAGAGGCAUUAUGAUGAAGCAGGAACUUUUUUUAAAGAAAUUCUAUGUUUAAUUUUCAUUGCUUUAAUUAUUUUGGUUUAACUAUAGAUUUGCUUUGUUGAUACUGCAUAGUUUUGGUAAGCAUUUUUUUCUCAAUUU
rnacentral:lncRNA from 1 species